GCCUCACAGCCCUCCGCCUGUGGGAGUGGCCCUUUCUACUAAGGAGGCAAGAGGUGGCCAGGAGUCUGUCAGCGAGUUCUGCAUGUCCUGGUGACCCUCCACCUGUUUCACAGUGUCACAGGGGAGCUCGAGCCUAUCCCAGCUAUCUUAGGGCGAGAGGCAGGGUACACUCUCGACAGGUCACCAGUCUGUUGCAGGGCUAACACAGACACAGAAAACCAUUGGCACCUAUGGGCAAUUUAGAUUUUCCAAUUAGGCUAUUGCCACUAACUGCAGGUCGUUGGACUGUGGCAGGAAGCCGGAGUACAAGGAGACAACCCACGCAAAACCGGGGAGAACAUGCCAACUCCACACAGAACGAUGGUAGAGCUGAACUCAGGACCUUCUUCCGGUUGGGUAACGGUGCUAACCAGUGUGCUGCCCUCAUAAGAGGAGCGCCACUGAGGGAACGCCUUCCGCCCACUGACGUCUCCGCCACUAUUGUAAACACCCACCCUUCCACAUUAUCCGGGGAACGCUGGCUGUUUAUAUUUCGAGAGACAGACAGUUAUUUUUUGAUAGUUUUAGCAACUCCCGAGACAGCUUUACCCCAGCGAUAAAGAUUUUUUUUCUAAAAAAACAAAAACCUGUUCUAGUGUUUUAAUUUCAGAAAAACAAGUGCAGAACGACAUCUCCAUCACAUGCGGACAACAUUGUGUAUUUUUUUAUUUCAUAUACAACAUGCUGCAUCUUAUUCACAUUGGCUUAACAUGUAUGGUACUAAUUUUAUUUGUAAUGAUGCUAUGGUGUGUCGUUUUGUCAACAACAUACAACCUGUUGCUCUAUGCCGUGAUUAUGUGUGUGGGCAACGUGGAUACUGAUAUGUACUAAUG
ensembl:lncRNA